rnacentral:rRNA from 1 species
GUAACGGCUCACCAAGGCUACGAUGGUUAGCUGGUCUGAGAGGAUGAUCAGCCACACUGGAACUGAAACACGGUCCAGACUCCUACGGGAGGCAGCAGUGAGGAAUUUUGCGCAAUGGGGGAAACCCUGACGCAGCAACGCCGCGUGAGUGAAGAAGGCUUUCGGGUCGUAAAGCUCUGUCAAGUGGGAAAAAAGUCUGAUGAUUAAUAGUUGUCAGAUCUGAUGGUACCACUGGAGGAAGCACCGGCUAACUCCGUGCCAGCAGCCGCGGUAAUACGGAGGGUGCAAGCGUUGUUCGGAAUUACUGGGCGUAAAGGGCGUGCAGGCGGGUUGGUAAGUCAGAUGUGAAAGCCCUGAGCUCAACCCAGGAAGUGCAUUUGAAACUGCCAUCCUUGAGUAUGGGAGAGGAGAGUGGAAUUCCCAAUGUAGAGGUGAAAUUCGUAGAUAUUGGGAGGAACACCCGUGGCGAAGGCGACUCUCUGGACCAAUACUGACGCUGAGACGCGAAAGCGUGGGGAGCAAACAGGAUUAGAUACCCUGGUAGUCCACGCUGUAAACGAUGAGAACUAGGUGUAGCGGGUAUUGACCCCUGCUGUGCCGAAGUUAACGCAUUAAGUUCUCCGCCUGGGGAUACGGCCGCAAGGCUAAAACUCAAAGGAAUUGACGGGGGCCCGCACAAGCGGUGGAGCAUGUGGUUUAAUUCGACGCAACGCGAAGAACCUUACCUGGGUUUGACAUCCUUUGACAGUCCCGGAAACGGGAUCUUUCCGACUUUGUCGGAACAGAGUGACAGGUGCUGCAUGGCUGACGUCAGCUCGUGUCGUGAGAUGUCGAGUUAAGUCCCGCAACGAGCGUAACCCUUGUCUUUAGUUGCCAGUAUUUAGUUAGGCACUCUAAAGAGACUGCCUCGGUUAACGGGGAGGAAGGUGGGGAUGACGUCAAGUCCUCAUGGCCUUUAUACCCAGGGCUACACACGUGCUACAAUGGGCUGUACAAAGGGUAGCUAAUUCGCGAGGAAGCGCUAAUCCCAAAAAGCAGCUCUCAGUUCGGAUUGGAGUCUGCAACUCGACUCCAUGAAGGUGGAAUCGCUAGUAAUCGUGGAUCAGCACGCCACGGUGAAUACGUUCCCGGGCCUUGUACACACCGCCCGUCACACCACGAAAGUCGACUGUACCAGAAGUUGCUGGGCUAACUCCGUUUACGGAGAGGCAGGUACCUAAGGUACGGCCGGUAAUUGGGGUGAAGUCGUAACAAGGUA